UCCGGCGGCUCCGCGGUACUUUGCGCGGCUGACCUCCGGGGCCACCCGCGAAUACUUCAGCCAUUAGCAGUGUUCUGUGCCACACAGCAAAAGCAGUGAAUGUGCAAAAUCCCCUUCGCAGGAAAACGUCCUUCAGCCCUCUCCCUCGGGGUCCUGCCUGCGAGAUCUAGCACCAGGAAGAAAGAAAAAUUACCAGGACACAAUCGAAGUCUCCAAUAUCGACCCCUCGGCAUGUGGAGCUUGAAGCCUUGUGUGGCUUGUUUAUGGCAUUCUUGGACAAACAGACCCAGUGAUUCUUUGGGCAGGAGCUGUAUGGGGAGGAAGAAAGUAAGAAUGGCUAGUCUAUUAGACUGGGAAUGGUGUUUCUCUCUCUGAGGUCUCAGUGUGGGCAUCUGUAAAACCCUGAUGCCUCACUGUGGGAGCAUGGGCAUUUUCUAAGGAGGUCUGGACCUAAACCAUGCACAGUAGCUAGGAUUAGAGGUUUCCUUAGUAAUCAAAGGCACAUGACAAGUCAGGCAUGUUGGGCAUGCGGCUAGACUCCCAGCAUUUGGAAAGUAGAAUCAGAGUAUUAGAAGCUCAAUGGCCAGGGGGCUGGAGAGAUGGCUCAGUGACUGACUGAAUGCUCCUCUAGAGUCUUGAGUUCAAUUCCUAGAAACCACAUGGUGGAUUAUAACCAUCUGUAAUGAAAUCCAAUGCCCUCUUCUGAUGUGUCUGAAGACUGCUACAGUGUACUCGAAUAUAUA
rnacentral:lncRNA from 1 species